UACAGAGGAUGCAAGCGUUAUCCGGAAUGAUUGGGCGUAAAGCGUCUGUAGGUGGCUUUUUAAGUCCGCCGUCAAAUCCCAGGGCUCAACUCUGGACAGGCGGUGGAAACUACCAAGCUGGAGUACGGUAGGGGCAGAGGGAAUUUCCGGUGGAGCGGUGAAAUGCGUAGAUAUCAGGAGGAACACCGGUGGCGAAGGCGGCUUGCUGGGCCAGUUCUGACGCUGAGGAGCGAAAGCGUGGGGAGCGAACAGG
rnacentral:rRNA from 1 species